AUCCACAAACUCAUAGAAAACAACCAAAACAAUCCAAGGUUUUUAUUUAGCACAGUGGCUAGAUUAACAAAUAACCAGACGCCACCCGAUAUAAAUAUUCCCUCACAAUUAAAUAGUAAUGACUUUAUGAAUUUCUUCACUGAUAAAAUAGAUAACAUCAGAAAUACAAUAACAAAUGUAGAUUCUACAGCGUCUAAUACUUUAGUUUUAUCUAUCGCACCCAAAGAUAAACUGCAGUGCUUUACAACUAUAAGACAGGAAGAGCUAAAUAAACUUAUCAAACAUCAGUGGCAGUUUCUGUGCUAUGAUGGGGCCUGAAACCCGACUGAAAUUCUUCAUAGAGAUCAUUUUUUUGCAGGUAGGAGCACAAUUGAGCAGACACAACUUUUUCUAAAAUUUUAGACAUAAAUGGAAGAUUUGAAAUGGGUCUGUAAUUUGCUAGUUCACUAGGAUCUAGUUGUGGUUUCUUAAUAAGAGGCUUAAUAACCGCCAGCUUGAAUGGUUUU
ensembl:lncRNA